rnacentral:rRNA from 1 species
UACGUAGGUCCCGAGCGUUGUCCGGAUUUAUUGGGCGUAAAGCGAGCGCAGGUGGUUUAAUAAGUCUGAUGUAAAAGGCAGUGGCUCAACCAUUGUGUGCAUUGGAAACUGGUAGACUUGAGUGCAGGAGAGGAGAGUGGAAUUCCAUGUGUAGCGGUGAAAUGCGUAGAUAUAUGGAGGAACACCGGUGGCGAAAGCGGCUCUCUGGACUGUAACUGACACUGAGGCUCGAAAGCGUGGGGAGCAAACAGG